GAUGAACGCUGGCGGCGUGCCUAAUACAUGCAAGUCGAGCGAACAGAUGAGGAGCUUGCUCCUCUGACGUUAGCGGCGGACGGGUGAGUAACACGUGGAUAACCUACCUGUAAGACUGGGAUAGCUUCGAGAAACCGGAUCUAAUACCGGAUAAUAUAUUGAACCGCAUGGUUCAAUAGUGAAAGACGGGUUUGCGGUCAGGUAUAGAUGGAUCCGCGCCGCAUUAGCUAGUUGGUAAGGUAACGGCCUACCAAGGCAAGGAUGCGUAGCCGACCUGAGAGGGUGGUUGGCCACCCUGGGAGUGAGACACGGUCCAGACUCCUACGGGAGGCAGCAGUAGGGAAUCUUCCGCAAUGGGCGAAAGCCUGACGGAGCAACGCGGCGUGAGUGAUGAAGGUGUUCGGAUCGUAAAGCUCUGUUAUUAGGGGAGAACAAAUGUGUAAGUAACUAUGCCGGUCUUGACGGUACCUAAUCAGGAAGCCACGGCUAACUACGUG
rnacentral:rRNA from 1 species